UCCAGGCUGCACAGGAGGUAGGUAAGCUCCAAAGACUGCAAAAGGAGCUGACCCACCCAGUGCACACCCAAACUCUGCCUUGGCUCUCCCUGCACCUUUUCUCAAAACUUACUCUUUCCUUAUCUGACUGCUUCUAGGGUUCUAGGGUACUUUUUUGGAGAUACUCAGGAAGGCACAGUGCUCUUUUAGAAACAUAUCUAAAGAACAUUAUUUCUGCAUUCCAUUCAGGUGUACACAUCAGCCCAUCAACAUCUAGUUUUAAGUGUCAGUGUCCUAAAAGGUAAUUUGUCCCAUCUCAUGUCUUCAGUUCUUCCACAUACAGUCAAAUAUGUCAGCAACAUAAACCAUUUUUAUUAGCAUCAACAUCAACAGUAACCUUACAAUUACCUGAGUUGCCUAAUCCUGUUCUCAUCACUGUUCCAGGGCCCCAGAAGGUGAACUUUGUCUCAAAUGGAGAAGAGAGCUACUGUGGAGGAUGAAGGAGCUAGUAAUAUGCACAUGGAAUAUGCAGUUGCUGCAGCAUCUGUUUUUAACAAUCUCCUGGUGAGGCAGAUAAACUGCUAAUUCUAUUAAUGUUGCUAUCAAAAUCUGUAAGGUAACUGAAGCUUCCAAUUUAGUGAUUUAUUAUCCUGCACAAGGUAGGCAGAGUGUGUCUUUCAUGUUCCAUAAUCAACACUAGAAGAGCAUUAGACUUGUAAAGAAGAAACUUCCCACUAACCAUUUCUGCUUGCAUAAAACUCUUGAUCAAAAAAAUGAAGUGUCAUUUUCCUUGAUUGAGAUUAAUUUUAAAUGAUAAAGAAUCCAAGUAAAUUCACAUAGGCAUGGACUCCACUGACAUCUUCUUGUGUUGAUCCAAUAGCCUGGACAUUUGAGAGAGGUCAGAAAUACAUUACACAGA
rnacentral:lncRNA from 1 species